rnacentral:lncRNA from 1 species
UGUUGCCCCAGGACAUCGUAUGAGUAGAGGGUUAACCACCUUAGCCAAGAGUAAUUUGGUCUGGUGAGUUCUCCACCUUCAGGACAAAAGCAUUUCAGAACCAUCCUAACAAUAGUGUUCCCAUAAGUAACCAGACACUGUUUGUAUCCAUAGCAACAUGGCUCCAUGAGCCCUGCUUCCGAGGAGCAGCUGCCCUUCCUGGGCACUGUCAAGAGUUGUUCUUCUCUGACAUCCACACCCUUCUUUACCUGGCACAUACCCCAGCCCAGGCACCAGGCAUCCAGGGCCUUCUAUGGCUGUCCGGAUGCAUUCCUUCACAGCUGGAAUGUGGUUGGCUUGUUGACUUCUGUUCCCAGCAUAGUGAACAGUGGGCACUAUAAGCCAGUAGGCACUCAAUUGAUGAUUCUUCAAUGAAAUAAUUGAUGCCACUUUUAGGUCAGUCUUUCUUGUACGUUACACCUUCUGUUGUUCAACAGAGCCCCACAAUAUCCCAGAACUUGGAGGUCUUAUCUCGGGGUUUCUCAGAUGUUGGAGUACCCAGGUAUCACCUGCUGAGCCAGUUUCCCUGGCCUCACCUGCAGGGGCUCUGAGUCAGUAAAUCUGGGGCAGGCCCAGUACUUUGCAUGUGAGCACAGACCCAGGUGUUUCUGAACCUGGUGGUCCAGGGACUGCUGCAGGAAGGAGCCAAUAGGACUGCAUGCCUUAGAGGCAGUGGGUCUCAUCCAUCCCUAUCUAUGGCACUGACUACAGGCCAUGUCCAGGCCACAUGGGCACAUGCUAUUAUAAUUAUUUUGUGUGAUGGAUGAGUUACAGAACUGGAGCCCUAAGACCUGAGUUCUAGUUUCAGCUCUGCCAGUUGCUGGCUGAUUGAAACUGAACAAGCCACCUGCCUUCCCUGAGACUGUCUCUUCUCCUGUGAAAUUAGGGCAUUAGAAUACAUGAAGACCCCUUUAUGUCCUUAAUAACCUGUAAGUUUAAGAACCUAGGGAAUCUCCAUGCUGGUGGCUGCGGUUAUAUCCCCUUAUCCUCAACUCGUGAAGAAAGAGUCAAAAAUGGCAGCAGGGUUGUGUCAACUGCUCUCCUCAGCAGCUAUCAUAAGGGAAUUGCCUUUGUCAUUUUCCCCAGCCAUCACCACACUCCCACACGGCCACCAUCACCUAAACCAUCUGGCAGUGGGGGUUACCUCCUAAAUCUAAGACGCAGAGACCCACCGCAGGCCUUUCUUUCUGGCUGCCCUCCACUCCCACCCAGAGGCUCAGUUUUGCUGGGCUGCACACCUCCGAGGACUCAGUUCUUUGUGUUUCAUGUUGUUUCAUAUCCACUAGUGUUACAGAAACUGCUGCAAACCAGGGACCAAAAGUCCAUAGGUUCUAAUUCUAGCUGUGACACUAGUGAGAUGAGUGACUGCUGGCAAGUUACUUUAUCUAUCUGACCUCACCUCCCAUGUACAAAAUUGGGUCUGUAUGCACAUUUGUGGUUCUAAAUCCUGGAGUCCAAAUCAGAGUUCUUUGUGCAAAAUAUACGUAGCUAGGUCCUAACCUCGGAGAUCCUGACUCAGUCUGGGGAAAGGCGCAGAUCUUGGGGAGAAAACAACUCUCUAGAAGAGUCUCGCCUUCAGUGAGUGACAAGAUCUCUCCUGUCUCUCGGUUCACAAUGUUACCCUAACUAAUCCAUCCUCUGAUGUCACCUGCUAACAACUUCCCCUGUGGCAUCAAACCAGUAGCCCAUUUGCAGCUAGUACAAACACUUCUUUACAUUUAAGUUUUGUUUACGAGAUUUAGCCUACAAUCAUAGAGGCUGCCAGCUGGGUUUCAAAUGUGUAUGUUCCAUUGCUAAUAGGAAAAACUGCAUCUAUUAGAAAAAUUCUCUCUGGGAGCUGAGCACAGAGGCAGGCCUUGUAUUGCAAACAUUUGAAAAGCCAUAAGCAGGUAUUCUGGACUGUGUUUUAGAUCACCUGAGAACAUUUCUUGAACACUAGUAUUUGCUUAGAGUGACAAACCUAUUAAGUGGUUCUUUCAGGUAAGUUUGCAUCCAAGCAAUGUCGUCUGAAUCGCAGGAGGAAGUCAGGAGUUGUGUCUGGCUUUCUGGCCAUACAAAUGGCAUAUGGGAAAGUCAUUGUAUAUUAUUAAUAUCCUUUGAUGUAUAUUAUUAUGACUUUCUCACGGUAGUAAUGUUGUUGGUUUUUAUUAAUGUUAUUUUUAUAGCAAUGCUAAUAUUAUGAGCUAAAAGUUUCUGAGCAUCUGCUGGGUGCCAAAAAUUCUUAUAAAUGCUUUACAUGCAUUAGCUCCUAACAACACUUUGAAGUAAUUCUUAUUGUCCUUACUUGACAUAUACAGGAAUAAAAACCUGACCAUUAGACCGAGCGUGGUGGCUCACGCCUGUAAUCCCAACACUUUGGGAGGCCGAGGCAGGCGGAUCACCUGAGGUCAGGAGUUUGAGACCAGCCUGGCCACCAUGGUGAGACCCCGUCUCUACUAAAAACACACAAAAAAUUAGCCGGGCGUGGUGGUGGGUACUUGUAAUCUCAGCUACCCGGGAGGCUAAUGCAGGAGAAUCGCUUGAACCCAGGAGGCGGAGGUUGCAGUGAGCCAAGAUUGCGCCAUUGCACUCCAGCCUGGGCAACAAGAGCAAAACUCUUUCAAAUAAACAAACAAAACCUAAGCAUUUGAGGGGUUUGGCCUGGGCAGUGGAGCUUGUGAGCUAUAUGAGCUGGAAUCUGAGUCAAGGCUGGGCUGGUGAAAGGAGUUCACUCAAGUUCCCAAGGUAUUCUGUCCUCCAGGACUCUGAAUCACCUGGGAGGAGAAGGAAUUGUGGCGGGCCUAACACCUUUUCUUUCCCAAACACCAAGAGCAGGUUCUUUCUGUUACAUCCAUUGAGGUCACAUUCUUGAAGUGCAUUUUGAGGAAGUCAUUAUUUUCGCUACAGCAGGGACUGAUGUAUCAGUCUAUUAGAAUUCAGAAAAAAGUAAGCAAACAAAAAACGUGUUGGAAUUAUUCUCUUCUAGCAUUUUGAAAUGUACAAUGGUUAAUGUUAACUAUAGCCACCAUGAUGUAUUGAAGACCAGGUCUUAUUCUUUUUAUCUAACUGUACAUUUGUACCCAUUAACCUAAUGCUCAUAGCAUCAAGAAAAGAUCAAUAUUUAAGGUGACAAAUAUCCCAAUUAUGCUGAUUUGAUUAUAUGAAUGUGUUGAAUUAUCAUAUGUACUCCCAAAAUAUGCACAUCUAAGAUGUAUCAAUAAAAAUAAAGACAAAAAUUAAAGCUUUUACAG